UUUUGCCUACUGGAGGCAGCAGUGGGGAAUAUUGCACAAUGGGGGAAACCCUGAUGCAGCAACGCCGCGUGAAGGAAGACGGUUUUCGGAUUGUAAACUUCUGUUCUUAGUGAAGAAGAAUGACGGUAGCUAAGGAGCAAGCCACGGCUAACUACGUGCCAGCAGCCGCGGUAAUACGUAGGUGGCAAGCGUUGUCCGGAAUUACUGGGUGUAAAGGGAGCGCAGGCGGGAAGCCAAGGCUGCUGUGAAAACUACGGGCUUAACUUGUAGACUGCAGUUGAAACUGGUUGUCUUGAGUGACGUAG
rnacentral:rRNA from 1 species